rnacentral:rRNA from 1 species
AGCGAACGCUGGCGGCAGGCUUAACACAUGCAAGUCGAGCGGGCGUAGCAAUACGUCAGCGGCAGACGGGUGAGUAACGCGUGGGAACAUACCUUUUGGUUCGGAACAACACAGGGAAACUUGUGCUAAUACCGGAUAAGCCCUUACGGGGAAAGAUUUAUCGCCGAAAGAUUGGCCCGCGUCUGAUUAGCUAGUUGGGGAGGUAACGGCUCACCAAGGCGACGAUCAGUAGCUGGUCNGAGAGGAUGAUCAGCCACAUUGGGACUGAGACACGGCCCAAACUCCUACGGGAGGCAGCAGUGGGGAAUAUUGGACAAUGGGCGAAAGCCUGAUCCAGCCAUGCCGCGUGAGUGAUGAAGGCCCUAGGGUUGUAAAGCUCUUUUGUGCGGGAAGAUAAUGACGGUACCGCAAGAAUAAGCCCCGGCUAACUUCGUGCCAGCCGCCGCUGU